UACGAAGGGGGCUAGCGUUGCUCGGAAUCACUGGGCGUAAAGGGUGCGUAGGCGGGUCUUUAAGUCAGGGGUGAAAUCCUGGAGCUCAACUCCAGAACUGCCUUUGAUACUGAAGAUCUUGAGUUCGGGAGAGGUGAGUGGAACUGCGAGUGUAGAGGUGAAAUUCGUAGAUAUUCGCAAGAACACCAGUGGCGAAGGCGGACUCACUGGCCCGAUACUGACGCUGAGGCACGAAAGCGUGGGG
rnacentral:rRNA from 1 species